rnacentral:sRNA from 1 species
GCCAGACGCGGUGGCCCACGCCUGUGAUCCCAGUGGCUCGGGAGGCUGAGGCAGGAGGAUCGCGAGUUCAAAGCCAGCCUCAGCCACAGCGAGGCCCUAAGCAACUCAGGGAGACCCUGUCUCUC